rnacentral:tRNA from 1 species
GCCUGAGUGGCUCAGUCCGUUAAGUGUCUGACUUCAGCUCAUGUCAUGAUCUCAUAGUUCGUGGGGUUCGAGCCCCGCCUCAGGCU